UACGAAGGGGGGCUAGCGUUGCUCGGAAUCACUGGGCGUAAAGGGUGCGUAGGCGGGUCUUUAAGUCAGGGGUGAAAUCCUGGAGCUCAACUCCAGAACUGCCUUUGAUACUGAGGAUCUUGAGUAUGGGAGAGGUGAGUGGAACUGCGAGUGUAGAGGUGAAAUUCGUAGAUAUUCGCAAGAACACCAGUGGCGAAGGCGGCUCACUGGCCCGGUACUGACGCUGAGGUGCGAAAGCGUGGGGAGCAAACAGGA
rnacentral:rRNA from 1 species